rnacentral:rRNA from 1 species
UACGUAGGGUCCAAGCGUUGUCCGGAUUUAUUGGGCGUAAAGAGCUUGUAGGCGGUCUGUCGCGUCUGCUGUGAAAAUCCGGGGCUCAACCCCGGGCCUGCAGCCGAUACGGGCAGACUAGAGUUCGGCAGGGGAGACUGGAAUUCCUGGUGUAGCGGUGAAAUGCGCAGAUAUCAGGAGGAACACCGGUGGCGAAGGCGGGUCUCUGGGCCGAUACUGACGCUGAGGAGCGAAAGCGUGGGGAGCAAACAGG